rnacentral:rRNA from 1 species
CGGCGCACGGGUGCGUAACGCGUAUGCAACCUACCUUCAUCUGGGGGAUAGCCCGAAGAAAUUCGGAUUAACACCGCAUAAAAUCACAGGGCCGCAUGGUCCAAUGAUCAAAUAUUUAUAGGAUGGAGAUGGGCAUGCGUGUCAUUAGUUAGUUGGCGGGGUAACGGCCCACCAAGACCACGAUGACUAGGGGAUCUGAGAGGAUGACCCCCCACACUGGCACUGAGAUACGGGCCAGACUCCUACGGGAGGCAGCAGUAGGGAAUAUUGGGCAAUGGACGCAAGUCUGACCCAGCCAUGCCGCGUGCAGGAUGAAGGCGUUAUGCGUCGUAAACUGCUUUUAUACAGGAAGAAACGACUCUUGCGAGAGGCAUUGACGGUACUGUAUGAAUAAGCACCGGCUAACUCCGUGCCAGCAGCCGCGGUAAUACGGAGGGUGCAAGCGUUGUCCGGAUUUAUUGGGUUUAAAGGGUGCGCAGGUGGUUUAUUAAGUCAGUGGUGAAAGACGGUCGCUCAACGAUUGCAGUGCCAUUGAAAC